AACGAACGCUGGCGGCAUGCCUAACACAUGCAAGUCGAACGAGACCUUCGGGUCUAGUGGCGCACGGGUGCGUAACGCGUGGGAAUUUGCCUCGGGGUACGGAAUAAACUCAGGGAAACUUGAGCUAAUACCGUAUGAUGUCUUCGGACCAAAGAUUUAUCGCCCUGAGAUAAGCCCGCGUAGGAUUAGCUAGUUGGUGAGGUAAGAGCUCACCAAGGCGACGAUCCUUAGCUGGUCUGAGAGGAUGAUCAGCCACACUGGGACUGAGACACGGCCCAGACUCCUACGGGAGGCAGCAGUGGGGAAUAUUGGACAAUGGGCGAAAGCCUGAUCCAGCAAUGCCGCGUGAGUGAUGAA
rnacentral:rRNA from 1 species